rnacentral:rRNA from 1 species
GUGCACCAGGCGAGAAUCCUUCGCAAUGCGGGAAACCGCGACGAGGGGACUCCCAGUGCCUACGCUCAGCGUAGGCUGUUCCCGAGCCUAGAAAGCUCGGGGAGUAAGGGCUGGGUAAGACGGGUGCCAGCCGCCGCGGUAAUACCCGCAGCCCGAGUGGUGGCCACUAUUAUUGGGCCUAAAGCGUCCGUAGCCGGCCCGGUAAAUGCCUGGGUAAAUCGUGAGGCCUAACCUCACGAAUUCCGGGUAGACUGCCGGGCUAGGGACCGGAGGAGGGAGAGGGUACUCCAGGGGUAGGGGUGAAAUCCUGUAAUCCCCUGGAGGACCACCGGUGGCGAAGGCGCUCUCCUAGGACGGGUCCGACGGUGAGGGACGAAAGCCAGGGGGAGCGAACCGGAUUAGA